rnacentral:rRNA from 1 species
GACGAACGCUGGCGGCGUGCUUAACACAUGCAAGUCGAACGGAAAGGCCCUGCUUUUGUGGGGUGCUCGAGUGGCGAACGGGUGAGUAACACGUGAGUAACCUGCCCUUGACUUUGGGAUAACUUCAGGAAACUGGGGCUAAUACCGGAUAGGAGCUCCUGCUGCAUGGUGGGGGUUGGAAAGUUUCGGCGGUUGGGGAUGGACUCGCGGCUUAUCAGCUUGUUGGUGGGGUAGUGGCUUACCAAGGCUUUGACGGGUAGCCGGCCUGAGAGGGUGACCGGCAACAUUGGGACUGAGAUACGGCCCAGACUCCUACGGGAGGCAGCAGUGGGGAAUAUUGCACAACGGGCGGAAGCCUGAUGCAGCAACGCCGCGUGCGGGAUGACGGCCUUCGGGUUGUAAACCGCUUUCGCCUGUGACGAAGCGUGAGGGACGGUAAUGGGUAAAGAAGCACCGGCUAACUACGUG